rnacentral:rRNA from 1 species
AACGAACGCUGGCGGCAUGCCUAACACAUGCAAGUCGAACGAGACCUUCGGGUCUAGUUGCGCACGGGUGCGUAACGCGUGGGAAUCUGCCCUUGGGUUCGGAAUAACUCGCCGAAAGGCGUGCUAAUACCGGAUGAUGACGUAAGUCCAAAGAUUUAUCGCCCAAGGAUGAGCCCGCGUUGGAUUAGCUAGUUGGUGAGGUAAAGGCUCACCAAGGCGACGAUCCAUAGCUGGUCUGAGAGGAUGAUCAGCCACACUGGGACUGAGACACGGCCCAGACUCCUACGGGAGGCAGCAGUGGGGAAUAUUGGACAAUGGGCGAAAGCCUGAUCCAGCAAUGCCGGGUGAGUGAUGAAGGCCGUAGGGUUGUAAAGCUCUUUUACCCGGGAUGAUAAUGACCGUACCGGGAGAAUAAGCUCCGGCUAACUCCGUG